GGUAAGGACGGACACGCGUGGGAACUACAGAAGAUGAGGCCUUAACACUCCUCUCGGCAUAAAAAUCUCCGGAGGAAUGAGAGGCCAAGGAAUCUGCAUUUUAAUGUUCCAGCUGAUUGUGAUGCAAUCGUCCUCCAUCCACAGUUUCAGGAAUGCUAGCGGAGUCGAACCGCUGGAGCGCUGGUGUUGAAAGACACAACCACUUCCCACCACAUGGCCUCUAUGCUGAUGUUUCAGGGGAUCUGAUUUCCAUUUGGUAUCGUGCAAGCCCCAUCACUGCAAAGCCUGGGUUAGCAGUGUUGGCUUGAGUGAGGGAAGAAGGCUAAAUAUCCGGGAUUUGCCAAAUUCAGGAUGUGUCUAUGACAUGACAUUAGGUGUCAGAGAAUUAACAAAUAUUUCUACCAGUGUCUUCAAAGGGCAGGUAUUAAUUUUCACACUAAAUCAUGCAUUAGUUCAGGAAAAAGAGAGCCACAUGAAUUUCAAAUUUAGGGUGCACAAAAAUCCCCCCUUAUCUACUUUUUGUCUCCUCUCAGAAUAAAAGUUAGAUUUUUUACCUAAGAAAAUUUCACACUGUACAGAUUUUAAAUCUGUAGUUACCAACCCACAUAUUUCUAAGAAUGUUAUGCAAUUUUAGUCAUAAAGCAAAAAGGUAUAAUAAAGCCUCUUACAAAUAACAAUAAUCUUAGGAACUUAAAAAUAAGAAUAGACCUCAAUGAGAAACACCUAUCCUUGACCACGUUCCCUAACUCCAAAGCACGUCCCAAGAAAUUACUGGAGAUGAUUUAUUAAAAUCACCAAGCCAAUAGGUGCUGAGAAAAAAAAAAUCUGGACGGUGAAGAGUAUGAUUUGGAUUUUAGUGACCACAUGGGCUCCCUUCAAAGAUUCUUCUAGGAAGAUACGACUGUGCUGUUUUCUGCAGAAAGAGCUCACGUCUUGGCUCUGCCUCACAUCGGCUGUGUAACCCCGGGCAGGUUACUUGGCCUCCCUGAGCAUCAGCCUCCGUAUCUACAGUCGUGGAGAGAACAAUGUCCACCUACAAGUGUGAUUAUUAGAAGUCAGUGAGAUAAACUAUAUACUUAGUAAAUCUGACAUUUUCUCCAUGGCAAUAUGAAUAUCUAAUUGAGAAAGCAAGAAAAGCAAAUCACUGGAGGUUGGCCACGUGGUCCUCGGCUUCCAAGUCCUGGAGCGACUGUCAUCUGUGCAGGCAGCUGCGGCCAGCCGAGUGGAGACCUCGCGCGCCUCGCGGAGAAGCCAGGCCCCAGCCCUUGAAUAAAGAGAUGUGAAGGAAAGACAGUGAUGCAGAGCCUGUGUCCUAGAGGCUGAGGACAGACCCAGUGGCAGGAAGGCAGGCUGCAACCGGCAGCGCCUCAUUUGGAUGUAUCUGGAGUCUUGGAAGCUUGACACCCUACCUUCUCAUACAAAUGGACCGUGAGAGCUUGCGAGGGACACCCACAUAACCAGCCAGAUGAGCUGGAUCAACCCUGCUGAUCAAUGUGAUGACAGAUGUCACAGCCGUCUUGCCCUCACAUCCUAGAAGUGUGAUUUUUAAAAAUUCUUUAGCUUCCAAUUUUUAUUUUUGAUGUUAAUAAAUAUUUUGCUUUAUUUUAAAUCUAAGGAAAAUAUGCAAAGAUAGAAAAUAUCAAAACCAGAAAA